GUUGGGGGGCUAUUACACCAUCUAAUCUCUUCCCAGAUGAGGCACAGCCCUAUAUAUGUUGGUAUACUUCAUCCACGCAAUAAAAUUACACAAUCUAUUAUCUGCAAUGCAAGAGUUUUAUUUAGUAGUCUACAUUGUACACACUACACACAUGAAACAUUUUGUCCAAAUUUCUCUGAUGUGUUGACAAACAUUUUCGUGGUCCUUCAGGUGAUGAUAAUUCUAAAAAAAAU